GAAACGCUCGUGGUGGAGAUUUCUCUUCUUCUAAAAAAAGGUGAAGUAUUUGAAGAAUCCCCAUUUAAGGGCGCCGCUGACGCGGAAGGCUCCGAGCGGGGCGUGUGGCGCUAAGACGUACCACCACCUCCGAGCCGGUUGGCGCCCCCGUCUUCUCGCAGACCCGCUUCUGUAUACCAGCAUAUAGUAGGAGUACCAAAAACAACCCGUCUCGCCGAAAAAGUUAUGAACUACUCAGCGAAUGUAAUGUUCGGCCCCAGAAAUACGGCCAUGCAUCGUAUCUGCUAACGAGACUGGGGUAGCUAGGCGCAGAGGCCCUACCUGUGUAUCACACACUGCAUCUCGCGCACGAGAUGCGCCGUUGCGGCGAGAUAGUUGAGUUGGCUGGACGUCUUAAUACCGUGUCGGAGACCCGGGACCGGACCAACCGCCAGCUGUAUGUUAUCCGGCCUCGCGAGAUGGGCUGGAGCCGCUUCUGCUGCCCUUAUUCGAACUAGUUCAUCGUGCUGCCACCCGACCUCCGUCGGUUUCCUGUGCCGCUUUCCAGUCGCCGCCUGAGACGACGUCUGUCGAAUGUACAGCCUCCGUCGUGCCGACAUGUGCGCUCCUCCUGGCGCUGCUAGAUUUUGACCUGUAUCACUUGGCUGGUAUGCUCGUGUUCCGUGUUUGAUGACUACUGCUUUUCCUGUAUUGCCUUGUGUGAUUCGCACCUCAGGUUACUACCUUUUGUUUUCGAUGGAAGAUGGUAAUAGCUGCCAGUCAAUUACGAGCAUCUCAAUAAAAGUCUGUCAGUGCCA